rnacentral:rRNA from 1 species
CCUACGGGGGGCAGCAGUGAGGAAUAUUGGUCAAUGGACGAGAGUCUGAACCAGCCAAGUAGCGUGCAGGAUGACUGCCCUAUGAGUUGUAAACUUCUUUUGUAUGGGAGUAAAAUGUUCCACGUGUGGGGUUUUGUAUGUACCAUAUGAAUAAGGAUCGGCUAACUCCGUGCCAGCAGCCGCGGUAAUACGGAGGAUCCGAGCGUUAUCCGGAUUUAGUGGGUUUAAAGGGAGCGUAGGUGGUUUGUUAAGUCAGUGGUGAAAGUUUGAGGCUCAACCGUAGCAUUGCAGUUGACACUGGCAGUCUUGAGUACAGUAGAGGUGGGCGGAAUGCGUGGUGUAGCGGUGAAAUGCUUAGAUAUCAUGAAGAACUCCGAUUGCGAAGGCAGCUCACUGGACUGCAACUGACACUGAGGCUCGAAAGUGUGGGGAUCAAACAGGAUUAGAUACCCUUGUAGUC